UACGAAGGGGGCUAGCGUUGUUCGGAAUCACUGGGCGUAAAGCGCACGCAGGCGGAUUGAUAAGUCAGGGGUGAAAUCCCGGAGCUCAACUUCGGAAUUGCCUUUGAUACUGUCUAUCUUCGAGUUCGGGAGAGGUUGGCGGAAUUCCUAGUGUAGAGGUGAAAUUCGUAGAUAUUAGGAAGAACACCAAUGGCGAAGGCAGCUUGCUGGGACGGUACUGACGCUGAGGCGCGAAAGCGUGGGGAGCAAACAGG
rnacentral:rRNA from 1 species